GGUGUUGAUGGCGUCGGGGGUCCACCCGUUCCCAUGCCGAACACGGAAGUUAAGCCCGACAGCGCCGAAGAUACUUGGUUGGUGACGACCCGGGAAAAUAGGAAGAUGC
rnacentral:rRNA from 1 species